UCGAGAAUCUUCGGCAAUGGGCGCAAGCCUGACCGAGCGACGCCGCGUGCGAGAUGAAGGCCUUCGGGUUGUAAAUCGCUGUCAGAGGGGAGGAAGUGCCGGUGGGUUCUCCCAUCGGUUUGACCUAUCCUCAGAGGAAGGACGGGCUAAGUUCGUGCCAGCAGCCGCGGUAAGACGAACCGUCCAAACGUUAUUCGGAAUCACUGGGCUUAAAGGGUGCGUAGGCGGUCCGGGAAGUUGGGUGUGAAAGCCCUCGGCUCAACCGAGGAAUUGCGCCCAAAACUUCCGGACUUGAGGGAGACAUAGGUGAGCGGAACUUAGGGUGGAGCGGUGAAAUGCGUUGAGAUCCUAAGGAACACCAGUAGCGAAAGCGGCUCACUGGGUCUCUUCUGACGCUGAGGCACGAAAGCUAGGGGAGCGAAGAG
rnacentral:rRNA from 1 species